CCCCUCCUUAAAGCACCUCACCCACCACUCACACUCUUUAAAGUGCUACUAAAGAGGCUUAACGGCCCAUUCCAAAAGGCCUGCAUGGGGCAUUUGUGCUUGAUUUGAAGAAGAAAAAAACACUUGCUGUGAAAACAUGGUCCUUCAGUGAGAGCCCUUAUGGAGUGUGCAGAGUUUCUUCGAUGUGGUGGUAAAGAGAAAAAGAUUGGGCAGGAAUAGACAGAUCCUUCACAUAGUUAUUCUCUCCAUUCCGUACAUCAUGAGCGUCGGCAUCAUCUCGAAGAGCUCUUUGGACUAUGACUCAAUAAGCGGAUAGUUGCAGCAGCCACAGCUGGUCGCCUUCAGAUCGGCGCCUGCUCACUGGCUACUCUGCUCCGGCUCUGCUCCAGCACUGCCCCGGCUCUUCUCCGGCUCUGCUCUGCCUCUCAAGCCAAGUCCUGCUACAGAUCUGCUCCAGCUCAGAAACCAGACUCUGCUUCAGAUCCGCUCCUGCCUUCAGUUCUAGGAAUCCUGAAUGACCGCCAGAGGCAAAACUUCAACCACUGAAUGAUCAUUCAGUGAGUAGCAGGUGAGAUCAGCAGGUCAAGUAAUAAUGACACCUAAGCCCCUUGUGACCUUUACACUAAAAGCUCAAUCCUGAUUUGUCUUGCAAAGGCCUGAGGGGUUUUCUGAGCUUUCUAGUGGUCAUUUAGGAUUCAUAAUUACAAAUAACUUUUGUUCUGUUUUAUCCCUGCAGACAAACAGAGGCAGCACCUGCUGUGAUAUUAAAAGGUAUGAGUCUAAAAUGCAUUAACAUCAGAAUUUCAAGUCAACCGUUCUGUUGUCUUGGUUUAGCAGCAUUCCUGUUGGUUAAUGUCUGACUUUUUAUCUUUAUUUUUUUAUUUAUUUUUACUUCCGAUGGUACGAUGGAGUUUUAGGGCCACCAAAAAAAACAAAAACAGAAAGAAAAAAAAAGUAAAAUUACGAAAUUGUAAGUCUUAUUUAUGAGAAAAAAAAUGUAAAAGUUAGAAUUAAAAAAAUUGUAAACUUGCCUUAAAACUCAGUCGUAUGAUGGA